GGACAGAUGGGAGCUUGCUCCUGAUGUAGCGGCGGACGGGUGAGUAACACGUGGGUAACUGCCUGUAAGACUGGGAUAACUCCGGGAAACCGGGGCUAAUACCGGAUGGUUGUUGAACCGCAUGGUUCAGACAUAAAAGGUGGCUUCGGCUACCACUUACAGAUGGACCCGCGGCGCAUAGCUAGUUGGUGAGGUAACGGCUCACCAAGGCGACGAUGCGUAGCCGACCUGAGAGGGUGAUCGGCCACACUGGGACUGAGACACGGCCCAGACUCCUACGGGAGGCAGCAGUAGGGAAUCUUCCGCAAUGGACGAAAGUCUGACGGAGCAACGCCGCGUGAGUGAUGAAGGUUUUCGGAUCGUAAAGCUCUGUUGUUAGGGAAGAACAAGUGCCGUUCAAAUAGGGCGGCACCUUGACGGUACCUAACCAGAAAGCCACGGCUAACUACGUGCCAGCAGCCGCGGUAAUACGUAGGUGGCAAGCGUUGUCCGGAAUUAUUGGGCGUAAAGGGCUCGCAGGCGGUUUCUUAAGUCUGAUGUGAAAGCCCCCGGCUCAACCGGGGAGGGUCAUUGGAAACUGGGGAACUUGAGUGCAGAAGAGGAGAGUGGAAUUCCACGUGUAGCGGUGAAAUGCGUAGAGAUGUGGAGGAACACCAGUGGCGAAGGCGACUCUCUGGUCUGUAACUGACGCUGAGGAGCGAAAGCGUGGGGAGCGAACAGGAUUAGAUACCCUGGUAGUCCACGCCGUAAACGAUGAGUGCUAAGUGUUAGGGGGUUUCCGCCCCUUAGUGCUGCAGCUAACGCAUUAAGCACUCCGCCUGGGGAGUACGGUCGCAAGACUGAAACUCAAAGGAAUUGACGGGGGCCCGCACAAGCGGUGGAGCAUGUGGUUUAAUUCGAAGCAACGCGAAGAACCUUACCAGGUCUUGACAUCCUCUGACAAUCCUAGAGAUAGGACGUCCCCUUCGGGGGCAGAGUGACAG
rnacentral:rRNA from 1 species